CCUACGGGAGGCAGCAGUGGGGAAUAUUGGGCAAUGGGCGCAAGCCUGACCCAGCAACGCCGCGUGAAGGAAGAAGGCUUUCGGGUUGUAAACUUCUUUUAAGAGGGAAGAGCAGAAGACGGUACCUCUUGAAUAAGCCACGGCUAACUACGUGCCAGCAGCCGCGGUAAUACGUAGGUGGCAAGCGUUGUCCGGAUUUACUGGGGGUAAAGGGCGUGCAGCCGGGAAGACAAGUCAGAUGUGAAAUCCCGCGGCUCAACCGCGGAACUGCAUUUGAAACUGUUUUUCUUGAGUACCGGAGAGGUCAUCGGAAUUCCGUGUGUAGCGGUGAAAUGCGUAGAUAUAAGGAAGAACACCAGUGGCGAAGGCGGAUGACUGGACGGCAACUGACGGUGAGGCGCGAAAGCGUGGGGAGCAAACAGGAUUAGAUACCCUUGUAGUC
rnacentral:rRNA from 1 species